UGAAUACGAGACGCUAAGGCGUCGAAGUAGUGUAUGUCAUACUUCCAAGAAAAGCUUGCACUGUCAUAGAUAAAAAACGCCUGUACCAUAACCGACACAGGUGGGUAGGUAGAGUAUACUAAGGGGCGCGAGAUAACUCUCUCUAAGGAACUCGGCAAAAUAACUCCGUAACUUCGGGAGAAGGAGUGCCUUAUUCGUAAGGUUGCAAUAACAAGAUCCAAGCAACUGUUUAUCAAAAACACAGGUCUCCGCUAAGUCGUAAGACGAUGUAUGGGGGCUGACGCCUGCCCAGUGCCAGAAGGUUAAAGAAGUUGGUUAGCAAUUGCGAAGCUGAUAACUGAAGCCCUGGUGAACGGCGGCCGUAACAAUAACGGUCCUAAGGUAGCGAAAUUCCUUGUCGGGUAAGUUCCGACCCGCACGAAAGGCGUAAUGAUUUGGAUACUGUCUCGGAGAGGGGCUCGGUGAAAUAGACUUGUCUGUGAAGAUGCGGACUACCUGCACCAGGACAGAAAGACCCUAUGAAGCUUUACUGUAACUUGAAAUUGAAAUUGGACUUUAUUCGCGCAGUAUAGGUGGGAGGCGUUGAUUAUAAUCUUGUGGGAUUAUUGGAGCCAUCAGUGAGAUACCACUCUUGUAAUGUUAGAUUUCUAACUUUGAAUCAUUAUCUGGUCAAAGAACAGUUUCAGGCGGGCAGUUUGACUGGGGCGGUCGCCUCCUAAACGGUAACGGAGGCGUACAAAGGUUUCCUCUGAACGGUUAGAAAUCGUAUCUAGAGUGUAAAGGCAUAAGGAAGCUUGACUGUGAGACCUACAAGUCGAGCAGGGACGAAAGUCGGUCUUAGUGAUCUGACGGUACUGAGUGGAAAGGCCGUCACUCAACGGAUAAAAGUUACUCUAGGAUAACAGGCUGAUCUCCCCCAAGAGUUCACAUCGACGGGGAGGUUUGGCACCUCGAUGUCGGCUCAUCGCAUCCUGGGGCGGUAGUACGUCCCAAGGGUUGGGCUGUUCGCCCAUGAAAGCGGUACGCGAGCUGGGUUCAGAACGUCGUGAGACAGUUCGGUCCAUAUCGGGUGUAGGCGUUAGAAUAUUGAGAGGAGCCUUCUUUAGUACGAGAGGACCGAGAAGGACAUACCUCUGGUGUACCAGUUAUCGUGCCAACGGUAAACGCUGGGUAGCUAUGUAUGGAGUGGAUAACCGCUGAAAGCAUCUAAGUGGGAAGCCCACCUCAAGAUAAG
rnacentral:rRNA from 1 species